CCUGGGGAGUACGGCCGCAAGGUUAAAACUCAAAUGAAUUGACGGGGGCCCGCACAAGCGGUGGAGCAUGUGGUUUAAUUCGAUGCAACGCGAAGAACCUUACCUACUCUUGACAUCCAGAGAACUUUCCAGAGAUGGAUUGGUGCCUUCGGGAACUCUGAGACAGGUGCUGCAUGGCUGUCGUCAGCUCGUGUUGUGAAAUGUUGGGUUAAGUCCCGCAACGAGCGCAACCCUUAUCCUUUGUUGCCAGCGGUUAGGCCGGGAAC
rnacentral:rRNA from 1 species